CUUUCUGAACCAUAUCUGCUCCGAGAUAACGAACUUUGAUUGCAUCCCAUACUUCCUUUGCUUUUUCGUAUUGCGCAACUUGCAUCAAAACAUCUUCUGGUAACGUUUGGAAGAUAAGUGCUUUCGUUGUGUGCGCCUUCUUUUCAUUUAUCCCUUCCGUUGAAACAACUGUUUCCCAAAGACUAUAUGCCUUCAAGAUUGUUUCCAUCAUAACUGCCCAUUGGGUGUAAUUCGUCUCUUUCAAUUUUGGGCAUUGAAGAGAUACAUUCCCUUGCUCGUGGAGUGACGUUGACGCACUUCCUUCUUUUUCUGUCAUGCCUCCUUUCUUUCUCGCCUUGCUUUUCUUGCCUAUCUUGCUUUACUUGCGUCUGGCCAACUUGCUAACCAGGUUCUUGCGUUUCUGACCGACUUGCUAAUCAGAUUU
rnacentral:lncRNA from 1 species